rnacentral:tmRNA from 1 species
GGGGCCGACCGGUUUUGACAGCAGGGACAGUUGGGAGGUAAGCACGUCGAGCGUUGGAUGGAGGCUCGUUAAACUGAAUGUCCAAAAAAUUAAUUGGCAAUAAUAGCUACGCACUCGCUGCUUAAUUUUCAAGGAAAAUUAGCUUAAUUUCUGCGCCCAAGGCUGGUGCGGAAACGAGUAUCCCGCCUUUGACACCCGCCUUUUGUGUCGCUGGCAACGGGGUAUCAUCUAUUUAAGGCUCGCCCGACGGAGUGUCUUGGCCCGAGGGUUAGAAAUUAAAGACUGGGACUGAUGUUUGGUUGCCGCCUACCGUGCGUCAGGAGAAGGAUUAAAGGUUGGCUAAGCGUGUAGAAAGCCUUUGGGCUGCCUGUUUGGACGAGGGUUCGAUUCCCUCCGGCUCCACAA